GCAGAGGAAACUCCUACCAGAUGAAGAUGCAGAGUGAUGUAAAGCAGGAGGAUGUACGUUCCAGGAAACAAUUACUCUGGCUCUUUGCAGAGCAAAAAGAAGAAAGGGAGUAAAAUCUAAAACAUUAAUUCCACACCCCUCCACAUCCCCCCAUCCUUCUUUCACAGGAGUCCACCCAGCCGUUCAGAGCCUACUGCUGACAGGAGUGCCUGGAGCAACCAGACUUGGAUGGGAGAUGCUGGUG